rnacentral:rRNA from 1 species
AGCGGGGGACGCGCUUGCGCGUCCCGCCGGCGACCGGCGCACGGGUGAGUAACACGUAUGCAACCUGCCCCCGCCAGGGGUACAACCCUCCGAAAGGGGGGCUGAUACCGCGUACAUCCCCUGGGGGCAUCCCCGGGGGAGGAAAGCCCUUUUGGGCGGGCGGGGAUGGGCAUGCGGCGCAUUAGGAAGACGGCGGUGUGACGGACCACCGUUCCGACGAUGCGUAGGGGUUCUGAGAGGAAGGCCCCCCACACUGGUACUGAGACACGGACCAGACUCCUACGGGAGGCAGCAGUGAGGAAUAUUGGUCAAUGGCCGGAAGGCUGAACCAGCCAAGCCGCGUGAGGGAGGAAGGCGCAGAGCGUCGCAGACCUCUUUUGCCGGGGGACAAAAGGCCGGACUCGUCCGGUCCUGAGGGUACCCGGAGAAAAAGCAUCGGCUAACUCCGUGCCAGCAGCCGCGGUAAUACGGAGGAUGCGAGCGUUAUCCGGAUUCAUUGGGUUUAAAGGGUGCGCAGGCGGGCCUUUAAGCCGGCGGUGAAAUCGCGGGGCUCAACCCCGCCGAGCCGUCGGAACUGGGGGCCUUGAGUGCGGCGGAGGCAUGCGGAAUGCGCGGUGUAGCGGUGAAAUGCAUAGAUAUCGCGCAGAACCCCGAUUGCGAAGGCAGCGUGCCGUGCCGCCACUGACGCUGAGGCACGAAAGCGCGGGGAUCGAACA